rnacentral:rRNA from 1 species
GACGAACGCUGGCGGCGUGCUUAACACAUGCAAGUCGAACGGAAAGGCCCUGCUUUUGUGGGGUGCUCGAGUGGCGAACGGGUGAGUAACACGUGAGUAACCUGCCCUUGACUUUGGGAUAACUUCAGGAAACUGGGGCUAAUACCGGAUAGGAGCUCCUGCUGCAUGGUGGGGGUUGGAAAGUUUCGGCGGUUGGGGAUGGACUCGCGGCUUAUCAGCUUGUUGGUGGGGUAGUGGCUUACCAAGGCUUUGACGGGUAGCCGGCCUGAGAGGGUGACCGGCCACAUUGGGACUGAGAUACGGACCAGGCUCCAACAGGCGGCAGCAGUGGGGAGCAUUACACAAUGGGCGGAAGCCGGAUGCAGCAACGCCGCGUGCGGGAUGACGGCCUUCGGGUUGUAAACCGCUUUCGCCUGUGACGACGCGUGAGUGACGGUAAUGGGUGAAGAAGCCCCGGCUAACUACGUG